rnacentral:rRNA from 1 species
GACGAACGCUGGCGGCGCGCUUAACACAUGCAAGUCGAGCGAGAACCAGGGCUUCGGCCCUGGGGAAAGCGGCGAACGGGUGAGUAACACGUGAGUAACCUGUCCUCGGCACCGGGAUAGCCCGGGGAAACCCGGAUUAAUACCGGAUGGCUUUUCGAGUCUUCGGGCUCGUCAGAAAAGGUAGCUUCGGCCUCCGGCCGAGGAGGGACUCGCGGCGGAUUAGCUUGUUGGUGAGGUAACGGCUCACCAAGGCGACGAUCCGUAGCUGGUCUGAGAGGACGAUCAGCCACACUGGGACUGAGACACGGCCCAGACUCCUACGGGAGGCAGCAGUGGGGAAUCUUGCGCAAUGGGCGAAAGCCUGACGCAGCGACGCCGCGUGCGGGAAGAAGGCC